rnacentral:rRNA from 1 species
CAAAUGAAUUGACGGGGCCGCACAAGCGGUGGAGCAUGUGGUUUAAUUCGAAGCAACGCGAAGAACCUUACCAGGUCUUGACAUCCGAUGCUAUUUCUAGAGAUAGAAAGUUACUUCGGUACAUCGGUGACAGGUGGUGCAUGGUUGUCGUCAGCUCGUGUCGUUGAGAUGUUGGGUUAAGUCCCGCAACGAGCGCAACCCUUAUCAUUAGUUGCUACGCAAGGGCACUCUAAUGAGACUGCCGGUGACAAACCGGAGGAAGGUGGGGAUGACGUCAAGUCCUCAUGGCCCUUAUGGGUAGGGCUUCACACGUCAUACAAUGGUCGGUACAGAGGGUUGCCAAGCCGCGAGGUGGAGCCAGUCCCAGAAAGCCGAUCGUAGUCCGGAUUGUUCUCUGCAACUCGAGAGCAUGAAGUCGGAAUCGCUAGUAAUCGCGGAUCAGCAUGUCGCGGUGAAUACGUUCCCGGGUCUU